ACCAAAGCCAAGAGACCAAUCAAGCAGGAGAGACCAGCCUCCCCUGUUCCCAGCUGUGUGUCCAUGAAGAGUGACCGGUCUAUGGAUCCUCUUAUAGACUUUAGAGAGGGAGACAUUUCUACUGAACAAAGACCAAUCAAGCAGGAGAGACCAGCCUCCCCUGUUCCCAGCUGUGUGUCCAUGAAGAGUGACCGGUCUAUGGUUCAUCCUAUAGAGUUUAGAGAGGGAGACCUUUCUACUGAACAAAGUCCAAUCAAGCAGGAGAAACCAGCCUCCCCUGUUCCCAGCUGUGUGUCCAUGAAGAGUGACCAGUCUAUGGAUAAACCUAUGUCCUUUAGAGAGGGAGACUUUUCUACUGAACAAAGGUAAGAAGAACUCAUGGGUCAUGGUCAGUGAGUUAAACAACACUGUCUCUUG
rnacentral:lncRNA from 1 species